rnacentral:rRNA from 1 species
CCUACGGGUGGCAGCAGUGGGGAAUAUUGGGCAAUGGGCGCAAGCCUGACCCAGCAACGCCGCGUGAAGGAAGAAGGCUUUCGGGUUGUAAACUUCUUUUGUCGGGGAGCAAAGCGAGUCACGUGUGACUCAUUGAGAGUACCCGAAGAAAAAGCAUCGGCUAACUCCGUGCCAGCAGCCGCGGUAAUACGGGGGAUGCGAGCGUUAUCCGGAUUUAUUGGGUUUAAAGGGUGCGCAGGCGGAGGUGCAAGUCAGCGGUCAAAUUGCGGGGCUCAACCCCGUACUGCCGUUGAAACUGCAUCCCUUGAGUGCGCGAGAAGUAUGCGGAAUGCGUGGUGUAGCGGUGAAAUGCAUAGAUAUCACGCAGAACUCCGAUUGCGAAGGCAGCAUACCGGCGCGCAACUGACGCUCAUGCACGAAAGCGUGGGUAUCGAACAGGAUUAGAUACCCGGGUAGUC